UACGGAGGGGGCUAGCGUUGUUCGGAAUUACUGGGCGUAAAGCGCACGUAGGCGGCUUUGUAAGUUAGAGGUGAAAGCCCGGGGCUCAACUCCGGAAUUGCCUUUAAGACUGCAUCGCUAGAAUUGUGGAGAGGUAAGUGGAAUUCCGAGUGUAGAGGUGAAAUUCGUAGAUAUCAGGAAGAACACCCGUGGCGAAGGCGGCUCUCUGGGACGGUACUGACGCUGAGACGCGAAAGCGUGGGGAGCAAACAGG
rnacentral:rRNA from 1 species